UACGGAGGAUCCGAGCGUUAUCCGGAUUUAUUGGGUUUAAAGGGUGCGUAGGCGGCGUUGUAAGUCAGUGGUGAAAGUUUGCGGCUUAACCGUAAAAUUGCCAUUGAUACUGCAGUGCUUGAGUAUAGAUGAGGUGGGCGGAAUGUGUCAUGUAGCGGUGAAAUGCAUAGAUAUGACACAGAACACCGAUUGCGAGGGCAGCUCACUAAACUAAAACUGACGCCGAGGCACGAAAGCGUGGGGAUCAAAC
rnacentral:rRNA from 1 species